GACGAACGCUGGCGGCGUGCUUAACACAUGCAAGUCGAACGGAAAGGCCCUGCUUUUGUGGGGUGCUCGAGUGGCGAACGGGUGAGCAACACGUGAGUAACCUGCCCUUGACUUUGGGAUAACUUCAGGAAACUGGGGCUAAUACCGGAUAGGAGCUCCUGCUGCAUGGUGGGGGUUGGAAAGUUUCGGUGGUUGGGGUUGGACUCGCGUCCUAUCAGCUUGUUGGUGGGGUAGUGGCUUACCAAGGCAUUGACGGGUAGCCGGCCUGAGAGGGUGAGCGGCCACGUUAGGACUGAGAUACGGCCCAGACUCCUACGGGAGGCAACGGUGGGGAAUCUUGCACAGUGGGCGGGAGCCUGAUGCAACAACGCCGCGUGCGGGGAGACGGCCUUCGGGUAGUAAACCGCUUUCGCCUGUGACGAAGCGAGAGUGACGGUAAUGGGUAAAGAAGCACCGGCUAACUACGUG
rnacentral:rRNA from 1 species